UACGUAGGGUGCAAGCAUUAAUCGGAAUUAUUGGGCGUAAAGGGCGCGUAGGCGGAGAUGUAAGUCAGAUGUGAAAUCCCGGGGCUCAACCCCGGAACUGCAUUUGAAACUGCAUUUCUAGAGGAUAGGCGGAGAAAACGGAAUUCCACAAGUAGCGGUGAAAUGCGUAGAUAUGUGGAAGAACACCUGUGGCGAAAGCGGUUUUCUAGCUUAAACCUGACGCUGAGGCGCGAAAGCAAGGGGAUCAAACAGG
rnacentral:rRNA from 1 species